rnacentral:rRNA from 1 species
CUAGGGGAGCGAACGGGAAGAGAAACCCCGCGUAGUCCUAGCAGUCAGCGAUGGAUGAUGAGGUAUCGGGGGGUAUAGAUCCCCUCCGCGCCGGAGCGAACGCGUUAAGCAUCCCGCCUGGGGAUUACGUCCGCAAGGCUUAAACUCAGAGGAAUUGACGGGGGCCCGCACAAGCAGUGGAGCAUGUGGUUUAAUUCGAUGCUACGCGAAGAACCUUACCUGGGCUUGACAUGUAGGUAGUAUUUGAAGCGAAAGCGGAUGACCCUUGGGGGAGCUUACACAUGGUGCUGCAUGGCUGGUUGUCAUUUCGCGCCGAUGAGGUGUCGGGUUAUAGUCCUGUAGCGCACGACAAGCUUUGCCUUUAGUUACAUGAGUAUAAUGGGACUGUCUGGCACAACUGGGAGGAAGGUGGGGAUGAAGUCAAGUCAGACAUGGCAUUUAUGUCCAGCGUUACAUCACACGCUUCCAUGCCCGGUACAAUGGUUGGCCAAGCGGUGAGUAGGAACCAAUCCGCACAAAUCACUGGUCUAAGUUCGGUUUGUGGGCGGCAAGUCGUCCAUAAGUAGACUUGUGAGUUGAUAGUACUCGCGUGUCAGUCAAUGAGAUUCCGGUGAAUACGUCUGCCCAGUACGUUGUACACACCGCCUAUCACGUGCACUGGAGCUGCCUACACGUGAAGCCACUGAGAGACCCGCAAGGAGGGCAGCUGUCGAAGGUGGGCCUGCUGACUGGGACGAAGUCGUAA